ACGGGAGGCAGCAGUGGGGAAUAUUGGGCAAUGGGCGAAAGCCUGACCCAGCAACGCCGCGUGAAGGAAGAAGGCCUUCGGGUUGUAAACUUCUUUUACCAGGGACGAAGGACGUGACGGUACCUGGAGAAAAAGCAACGGCUAACUACGUGCCAGCAGCCGCGGUAAUACGUAGGUGACAAGCGUUAUCCGGAUUUACUGGGUGUAAAGGGCGUGUAGGCGGUUUGGCAAGUCAGAAGUGAAAUUCCCGGGCUUAACUUGGGCGCUGCUUCUGAAACUGCUUUACUUGAGUACUGGAGAGGAUAGUGGAAUUCCUAGUGUAGCGGUAAAAUGCGCAGAUAUUAGGAGGAACACCGGUGGCGAAGGCGGCUAUCUGGACAGUAGCUGACGCUGAGGCGCGAAAGCACGGGGAGCAAACAGGAUUAGAUACCCUGGUA
rnacentral:rRNA from 1 species